rnacentral:rRNA from 1 species
UACAGAGGGGGCAAGCGUUGUUCGGAAUUACUGGGCGUAAAGGGCGCGUAGGCGGCCUUCUAAGUCGAACGUGAAAUCCCUGGGCUCAACCCAGGAACUGCGUCCGAUACUGAAAGGCUUGAAUCCGGGAGAGGGAUGCGGAAUUCCAGGUGUAGCGGUGAAAUGCGUAGAUAUCUGGAGGAACAUCGGUGGCGAAGGCGGCCCGCUGGGCAGGAAGGCCCCCUCACGGGGGCCGGCUGACGCUGAGGCGCGACAGCGUGGGGAGCAAACAGG